rfam:Afipia sp. Root123D2 contig_3, whole genome shotgun sequence.
UACCGGCAUUCCAACGCCGGCGCGGGCUACUGAAAAGGCUUGUCCUUCAUUGCCAGGUGUGCGGGCGGGAAAUUCCCAACCAAUCCACGGCAGCACAGUUCGUACUGAGUUCGAGGCUUCGUCGCGUCUCCAUCGUGCGACUGGCCGCAGCGCUCACGU